AACAGGCAUAGCAGAGGUAAUGGGAAAGAUAUUAUUGAUUUUAUGUAUUUAAAUAGAGCAUAGUCAACUUGACAAUGCCUCUUUAAAUAAUUGAAAAAUCUGCUUCAGCUGACAGUAGCUCACAAGAUAACGAGGCUGGUUGUGGAAGAACAUGAGUAAUUAGAGAGUGGGGAUUCUUGCCACAUGGAAUUGACCCUUGGGGGCUUGAAGAAAGCAGGAUUUGUGGCUGCUCUGAAAUGCCAGUGGUCUGGUCCAGCAUUCCUCUUGUCAAUACGAACCUUGUGUUUUUAUUGGAAACACGUGUCAAAACAAAACAGUGUUUGAGGCUGCUGCUGAGAGAAGGUGGGCAAGUCCACAGACAGCCAACCUGUUUUUUCUGCUUGUUUCCAAACAUACCAUGCUGCACUGCCCGUCACGUUCAAAUGGAGGGAAAGAUGAUUUAGAGGAAUCAGAGUGACUGUGGCGUUCUGCUAUACCCUGAUGAGGCCCAAAUUGAGAGUUUAUAUUAGGGUUACCCCCUGAAGAAGAGCUAUUGCAGCAAGACAGCUUUGAGCUUUUCUGGAUGAGCAGAAGAGUGUUUGGAGAAGACCUGCCAGUCCUAUGUGAUACUUCGCUCCCUGUGGGCUGCCAAAACAGUUUGAAAACAGUGUAAGUUAUGAAUCUUGGAACUGUUACCUGCAUCACAGAAAAGUCAAAGUAAGGAGAUGGAGCAGACAUAGAUGAGGGGAAAAAUUGUUAAUAAGAACAGCAGACACGAUGUUGCAGACUGUAGCUGUCUCAUGAAAUGUGAUUUGCUGCCAGCACAUCACAGUAAGGAAAGUCUGGUUGACCUGUGAAUAGAUGAGAAAAAUAAAGGGAAGAGACACUUUCAGGGUCCUAAUUAAACACUGGGCUACCUGCUUGCCUAGGCAGCAUCGCCUCACUGCUUCUGGGUGACAGGACGGCAGGGCUUGUCCCUGAUGACAUAUUCAAUGGUCUAUGGCUGUGCUGUUUUGCUGCAGCAUAAGCAAACGGAGAAUUCUUUGUGUGCAAGUCUGAGGCUGCAUAUACAUGUGUGUGAACUCUCUAAAAGCAAACAACUAGCCUUUAUAAAGCCAAAUUCCAAGCAAGUAACCAGCUCAGCAGCUGUGAAAGGUGUCUCUGUGUUUCUUUGUUGAUAAAAAUGCAACCCACAGUGACUCAAACCUCAGGAUGUGGUGGGAAGCUGAGAAGAAAAGAAAGAUAGAGAGUGGGGGAGAAAGGGAAAAAAAAUCCUUCGCAGGAUGAGGAGUUCAGACAUGCCAGAUUUCUUUGGCGCAGACGUUGCUGUCAUGAGCCUCGCAGACGUUUAACGUUUGAUUCCCUGCUUGCUUUUCACUUGGCAUCAAGGGUGUAGCGAAGAUUUUGAAAACAGUAUGGCAAAGUGUUUUAAAUAGCAAGACUGGUCUGCAAGUGCCAUAAACAGCAUCUCUUUCAUAUGCUACAAGUAAAUAGUGCGGGCAGAAACCCAGCGUGCGAAGGCUGCCGCAGAUCUGUCGUUACCCUGCAUCUGCUCCCUGUGACCAAAACAUUGAUGAUCAUUUCCCUUCCUCCCCUCUGUUCCAGCCCCGUCUUGAAUGCCUCUGGAAAGCAGAAGGCAGCUGCCUUAAGGACAGGAACUUGGUGUGCGGAAAGGAGAAUCUAGUUUGGAAGAUGAAUACUAAAAGUAGGCAUUGAUUUCCUAUCAAAGAAGUGAAGUGUUCAAAUUUGCUGUGUUGCUUUCACUUGAAAGGCAUCAGGACUACCAGAUGUGCUGUGUUCAGAUGAGAUUAAGCUUUUGGACUUGUUCUGAGGCCCCAAAAUUUACUUCACCAGCUCCAGCCAAGCGGCUUAGGCACAGCUUUUUCCCGAAGCAGCAGAAGUGACUUGAAGCUUCGUGGCCUGAGUCUUUCUGCUGUGAUUCUGUUGUCAGAUAUUUAGCUACACAAGCACCAUAUCAGGCAUGAGGGGGGAAUGAAGCUAUCCCAUCACAGAUAACAUCUAACUAGCAGAACAGAUCUUUUUCCUACUGAACAUAUGUUUCCUUCACUUGCAGUGAAAGAGGAGUGCAGCCACAAUAAGAAUGAGCUGAGAGCAGAGCAAUGUAAGGGUUGAAGAAAACAAGAAACAGAGAAAACUGUGUGAAGGCUGUAUGGGCUUGUCUCUAGCAUUUACUAAGGGAAUAAUACAGGAUCUCUUGUCAGGUCUAAUCAACCUUUUGAGUUGACAGUUGCUGAUUCAGCAGUGAGACACAGUGCCUGUUCUCCAGAGGAAGAUUUAGGAGCUUAACCUGAGUUUCCACGGCACUGAUUUUCACAUUGCUUAUGACUGAGAAUCCAGGAGCUACUCAAACAAGGAACAUAAAAGGGACAAAGUAACCUCUUGCUGAAAUGUAUCUAUCUCUGGGGAGAAGCACUACUAUUUAACUCAACUGCAGAAGCAAAAAAGAUCUAGGCCUUAGACAAAGAAGCAAAACCAGGAAAGAACUGGAUGGAAAAGACUUUGACUUGGGAGCGAACUCUUCAGAAAGUAUCAUGAGAUCUUCAAGAAAGCAGAGGAAUCGGAGCUCAUUGCAUGUGAAUUGUCUGAACUGCAUGUGAGCUUUAAGGACUGCAGUAAUGAAAGAAUAAAGUGGCUUACAAGCUACAUCAGCCCUGGAAAACAAAGCA